GGCGACCGGCGCACGGGUGAGUAACACGUAUCCAACCUGCCGUCUACUCUUGGACAGCCUUCUGAAAGGAAGAUUAAUACAAGAUGGCAUCAUGAGUCCGCAUGUUCACAUGAUUAAAGGUAUUCCGGUAGACGAUGGGGAUGCGUUCCAUUAGAUAGUAGGCGGGGUAACGGCCCACCUAGUCUUCGAUGGAUAGGGGUUCUGAGAGGAAGGUCCCCCACAUUGGAACUGAGACACGGUCCAAACUCCUACGGGAGGCAGCAGUGAGGAAUAUUGGUCAAUGGGCGAGAGCCUGAACCAGCCAAGUAGCGUGAAGGAUGACUGCCCUAUGGGUUGUAAACUUCUUUUAUAAAGGAAUAAAGUCGGGUAUGCAUACCCGUUUGCAUGUACUUUAUGAAUAAGGAUCGGCUAACUCCGUGCCAGCAGCCGCGGUAAUACGGAGGAUCCGAGCGUUAUCCGGAUUUAUUGGGUUUAAAGGGAGCGUAGAUGGAUGUUUAAGUCAGUUGUGAAAGUUUGCGGCUCAACCGUAAAAUUGCAGUUGAUACUGGAUAUCUUGAGUGCAGUUGAGGCAGGCGGAAUUCGUGGUGUAGCGGUGAAAUGCUUAGAUAUCACGAAGAACUCCGAUUGCGAAGGCAGCCUGCUAAGCUGCAACUGACAUUGAGGCUMGAAAGUGUGGGUAUCAAACAGGAUUAGAUACCCUGGUAGUCCACACGGUAAACGAUGAAUACUCGCUGUUUGCGAUAUACGGCAAGCGGCCAAGCGAAAGCGUUAAGUAUUCCACCUGGGGAGUACGCCGGCAACGGUGAAACUCAAAGGAAUUGWCGGGGGCCCGCACAAGCGGAGGAACAUGUGGUUUAAUUCGAUGAUACGCGAGGAACCUUACCCGGGCUUAAAUUGCAGAUGAAUUACGGUGAAAGCCGUAAGCCGCAAGGCAUCUGUGAAGGUGCUGCAUGGUUGUCGUCAGCUCGUGCCGUGAGGUGUCGGCUUAAGUGCCAUAACGAGCGCAACCCUUGUUGUCAGUUACUAACAGGUUCUGCUGAGGACUCUGACAAGACUGCCAUCGUAAGAUGUGAGGAAGGUGGGGAUGACGUCAAAUCAGCACGGCCCUUACGUCCGGGGCUACACACGUGUUACAAUGGGGGGUACAGAGGGCCGCUACCACGCGAGUGGAUGCCAAUCCCCAAAACCUCUCUCAGUUCGGACUGGAGUCUGCAACCCGACUCCACGAAGCUGGAUUCGCUAGUAAUCGCGCAUCAGCCACGSCGCGGUGAAUACGUUCCCGGGCCUUGUACACACCGCCCGUCAAGCCAUGGGAGCCGGGGGUAC
rnacentral:rRNA from 1 species